GAUGAACGCUGGCGGCGUGCUUAACACAUGCAAGUCGAACGAAGCAUUUAGGACAGAUUACUUAGGUUUGAAGUUCUUUAUGACUGAGUGGCGGACGGGUGAGUAACGCGUGGGUAACCUGCCUUGUACUGGGGGAUAGCAGCUGGAAACGGCUGGUAAUACCGCAUAAGCGCACAAUGUUGCAUGACAUGGUGUGAAAAACUCCGGUGGUAUAAGAUGGACCCGCGUCUGAUUAGCUAGUUGGUGAGAUAACAGCCCACCAAGGCGACGAUCAGUAGCCGACCUGAGAGGGUGACCGGCCACAUUGGGACUGAGACACGGCCCAGACUCCUACGGGAGGCAGCAGUGGGGAAUAUUGCACAAUGGAGGAAACUCUGAUGCAGCGACGCCGCGUGAGUGAAGAAGUAAUUCGUUAUGUAAAGCUCUAUCAGCAGGGAAGAUAGUGACGGUAUCUGACUAAGAAGCUCCGGCUAAAUACGUG
rnacentral:rRNA from 1 species